rnacentral:rRNA from 1 species
UGAAAGCAUCUAAGCGGGAAGCACGUUUCAAGAUGAGGUUUCCCCACCCCUUGAGGGUGUAAGGCCCCCAACAGACUAUUGGGUUGAUAGGCCGGAGGUGUACAGCAGCAAUGCCCAGCCGACCGGUACUAAUAGGCCGAACACU